AACGCUGGCGGCGUGCCUAAUACAUGCAAGUCGAACGAACUCUGGUAUUGAUUGGUGCUUGCAUCAUGAUUUACAUUUGAGUGAGUGGCGAACUGGUGAGUAACACGUGGGAAACCUGCCCAGAAGCGGGGGAUAACACCUGGAAACAGAUGCUAAUACCGCAUAACAACUUGGACCGCAUGGUCCGAGCUUGAAAGAUGGCUUCGGCUAUCACUUUUGGAUGGUCCCGCGGCGUAUUAGCUAGAUGGUGGGGUAACGGCUCACCAUGGCAAUGAUACGUAGCCGACCUGAGAGGGUAAUCGGCCACAUUGGGACUGAGACACGGCCCAAACUCCUACGGGAGGCAGCAGUAGGGAAUCUUCCACAAUGGACGAAAGUCUGAUGGAGCAACGCCGCGUGAGUGAAGAAGGGUUUCGGCUCGUAAAACUCUGUUGUUAAAGAAGAACAUAUCUGAGAGUAACUGUUCAGGUAUUGACGGUAUUUAACCAGAAAGCCACGGCUAACUACGUGCCAGCAGCCGCGGUAAUACGUAGGUGGCAAGCGUUGUCCGGAUUUAUUGGGCGUAAAGCGAGCGCAGGCGGUUUUUUAAGUCUGAUGUGAAAGCCUUCGGCUCAACCGAAGAAGUGCAUCGGAAACUGGGAAACUUGAGUGCAGAAGAGGACAGUGGAACUCCAUGUGUAGCGGUGAAAUGCGUAGAUAUAUGGAAGAACACCAGUGGCGAAGGCGGCUGUCUGGUCUGUAACUGACGCUGAGGCUCGAAAGUAUGGGUAGCAAACAGGAUUAGAUACCCUGGUAGUCCAUACCGUAAACGAUGAAUGCUAAGUGUUGGAGGGUUUCCGCCCUUCAGUGCUGCAGCUAACGCAUUAAGCAUUCCGCCUGGGGAGUACGGCCGCAAGGCUGAAACUCAAAGGAAUUGACGGGGGCCCGCACAAGCGGUGGAGCAUGUGGUUUAAUUCGAAGCUACGCGAAGAACCUUACCAGGUCUUGACAUACUAUGCAAAUCUAAGAGAUUAGACGUUCCCUUCGGGGACAUGGAUACAGGUGGUGCAUGGUUGUCGUCAGCUCGUGUCGUGAGAUGUUGGGUUAAGUCCCGCAACGAGCGCAACCCUUAUUAUCAGUUGCCAGCAUUAAGUUGGGCACUCUGGUGAGACUGCCGGUGACAAACCGGAGGAAGGUGGGGAUGACGUCAAAUCAUCAUGCCCCUUAUGACCUGGGCUACACACGUGCUACAAUGGAUGGUACAACGAGUUGCGAACUCGCGAGAGUAAGCUAAUCUCUUAAAGCCAUUCUCAGUUCGGAUUGUAGGCUGCAACUCGCCUACAUGAAGUCGGAAUCGCUAGUAAUCGCGGAUCAGCAUGCCGCGGUGAAUACGUUCCCGGGCCUUGUACACACCGCCCGUCACACCAUGAGAGUUUGUAACACCCAAAGUCGGUGGGGUAACCUUUUAGGAACCAGCCGCCUAAGGUGGGACAGAUGAU
rnacentral:rRNA from 4 species